GAUAAAUGUACUGUACGAUCAAGGUAUACUGUGGUGUCGAACAGUAGGAAAAUGUAUAUAACAGUUCGGUCUGAAUAUAAGGAAUAAAACGACGUCGAAUCACUUUGGUUCUGACCCUGAACAAAUCAAGAUCGUUUCUGUGCCUUCAACCCAACCGAAACAUAAACCCUUAUUUAAAGCUAUUAGAGCUUUGAGUGAUUCAAUUCAUCCGUACACGUGCUGUGGUGAUACUAGCCGAAAUCGACGAUAGAAACCUAAUAAAGUGACCGAAGUUCCAUCCACCAAAACCAGCUAGUGCUCCCGUCAGCUGGAAAUAUUCCUGGUGGAUUUCUGGCGGUUUACAUCGUUUUCGUACACGCUGGGGUGAAAUCAAUCUACGAGUGGAAGGACGACUACCUACUAACGAAGAGAACGAGGUAACCGGUCGGCAAAGGUCAGACACUAUCGGAACGUCGGCGAAGGUCGGACGCUAUCAUUGGAAGGUUAGGAUUAUCAUUGGAAACGCGCCAAUCAUGGCCCAUCGGGACCAGCUCAAAAUGAGUAAAAGCAAGCCGCAAUCCAACGUAGUCAUCUCAAUGAGUAGUUCAGAGGUGUCGCCAAUGGGCGACACAAG